rnacentral:rRNA from 2 species
UGGGGAAUAUUGCACAAUGGGCGCAAGCCUGAUGCAGCCAUGCCGCGUGUAUGAAGAAGGCCUUCGGGUUGUAAAGUACUUUCAGCGGGGAGGAAGGGAGUAAAGUUAAUACCUUUGCUCAUUGACGUUACCCGCAGAAGAAGCACCGGCUAACUCCGUGCCAGCAGCCGCGGUAAUACGGAGGGUGCAAGCGUUAAUCGGAAUAACUGGGCGUAAAGCGCACGCAGGCGGUUUGUUAAGUCAGAUGUGAAAUCCCCGGGCUCAACCUGGGAACUGCAUCUGAUACUGGCAAGCUUGAGUCUCGUAGAGGGGGGUAGAAUUCCAGGUGUAGCGGUGAAAUGCGUAGAGAUCUGGAGGAAUACCGGUGGCGAAGGCGGCCCCCUGGACGAAGACUGACGCUCAGGUGCGAAAGCGUGGGGAGCAAACAGG